UAUCCGAGUGUUGUAUAUUUAUCAAGUUUAUUGGGACUCUUUGGUAUCCACAAGAUUUGCAUUAAUUACCUAUUCUAUAAACACCUCUUCUAAUUGUAAACUAACCUAGCAGUUCAUUUGAAGUACAAACACUUGAUUAAAAGAUU